CCAAGACGACGACGGGUAGCCGGCCUGAGAGGGCGACCGGCCACACUGGGACUGAGACACGGCCCAGACUCCUACGGGAGGCAGCAGUGGGGAAUAUUGCACAAUGGGGGAAACCCUGAUGCAGCGACGCAGCGUGCGGGAUGACGGCCUUCGGGUUGUAAACCGCUUUCAGCAGGGAAGAAGCCUUUCGGGGUGACGGUACCUGCAGAAGAAGUACCGGCUAACUACGUGCCAGCAGCCGCGGUAAUACAAAAA
rnacentral:rRNA from 1 species